rnacentral:rRNA from 1 species
GACGAACGCUGGCGGCGUGCCUGACACAUGCAAGUCGGACGGUUCUUGCACCUUCAAGCUUGCUUGCUGGUGCAAGGAUAGUGGCGGACGGGUGAGUAACGCGUGAACAUCUACCCAUUGGAGGGGGACAACCCGUCGAAAGGCGGGCUAAUACCGCGUAAGCCGCGAGGUGAGAGGCUGCCUAUUGGUGGCCGCCGAUGGAUGGGUUCGCGUCCUAUCAGCUGGUUGGUGGGGUAACGGCCUACCAAGGCGAAGACGGGUAGCCGGUCUGAGAGGAUGGCCGGCCACACUGGAACUGAGACACGGUCCAGACUCCUACGGGAGGCAGCAGUGGGGAAUAUUGGGCAAUGGGGGUAACCCUGACCCAGCGACGCCGCGUGAGGGACGAAGGUUUCGGAUCGUAACCUCUGUUGUACGGGAAGAAGGAAUUGACGGUACCGUACGAGAAAGCCCGGCAACUACGUG